GUCCCCGACCAGAGGACCUCAGACACAGCCAAAAACAAUCCAUUGAUACACUUGGUGACAUUAAUUGAGAAAAAAACAAUAUGGUCUGGCCAUGGAGGCAUGGUAUCCGUAACAUCCCCCAAAGGAGCUAAAGAAGAAAUCCACAAUUUACCAUGAGCAUUUCUCGUCUGAAGAUUGCCAAGCGAUUCCUCCAGGACAUUCCUCAAGAUCAAUUUCUGUUCAUCCACCUUGUCCUGGGAGGGACAUCAAUGGGUUUCCAUGUCCUUUGGCUUCUGGUUGAGUUCACUCAGUGGAGAACCCUGGCAAGAGGCAGGAAAAGGGGAGGAAGGUGAAAACCAUCCAUUUCUUGGAGAAGUGCCACGGUGGGGUUGCAAGUCCCAGGAUCAAGUUUUCGAUGUGUCUCUUUUUCCCGUAAAGUGGCUGAAAUCUGAAGCUGAAUCUGCAAGUGUCAUGGAGUCAUUGAAUCUCACAGUCUCAACUGAUAAAAGUUAUUAAAGGUCGUCUGGUUCAGCCUUCUA
rnacentral:lncRNA from 1 species